GAUGAACGCCAGCGGCAGGCCUAACACAUGCAAGUCGAGGGAGAAGCCCUUUCGGGGGCAGAAACCGGCGCACGGGUGCGUAACGCGUAUGCAACCUACCUUUCACAGGGGGAUAGCCCGAAGAAAUUUGGAUUAAUACCCCAUAAUAUUAUUGGAUGGCAUCAUUUGAUAAUUAAAACUGCGGUGGUGAAAGAUGGGCAUGCGUCCUAUUAGCUAGUUGGAGUGGUAACGGCACCCCAAGGCUACGAUAGGUAGGGGUCCUGAGAGGGAGAACCCCCACACUGGUACUGAGACAGGGACCAGACUCCGACGGGAGGCAGCAGUGAGGAAUAUUGGUCAAUGGUCGGAAGACUGAACCAGCCAUGCCGCGUGCAGGAAGAAUGCCUUAUGGGUUGUAAACUGCUUUUAUAUGGGAAGAAUAAGGCGUACGUGUACGUUGAGGACGGUACCAUAGGAAUAAACAUCGGCUAACUCCGU
rnacentral:rRNA from 1 species